CCCCUCAUGUUUGCUGUAAAUUUUGAAUCAACAAAUAUAGUCCAUCUUCUUCUUCAGAAAGGUAUAGAUGUCUCUUCUUGAGAUUCCCAUGGAUGGACUGCAGAAGAAUAUGCUCUUAGUGUUUUUAAUGUCUGUCAGCAACUGAUUUCUGAUUAUAAAGAAGAAAAACUACCUACGAUUUCCUCUCAAAAUAAUAAUCCAGAAUCUCCCCAAACCAAGCUUAACAAAGCUAAUGACUGCUUCUCAGAACUCCAGGAAAAACAUAGAAGAAAAUCGUAGCAUUGGGAGACCAGAAAAUAGAACUUUGUUAGAGGACAGUAGUUCUGAUAGUGAACAUGAAGAUGUGGUUGAAACCCUCCCAGAGUGGCCAGUCCGAGUCCAGGGCAUCUCUCCUGCUGCCUUUCCAUCACCUGAGCCUCUUCUAAAACCUCCCCUCAAGUCUUCAGCAGUCCAUGGUGCUACGAAGUGAAAAGCACUGUUGGAAACAAGUAAAUGGGAAACAUCCUGGACUCCAGCCCUCCAGUUAAGACAUCUACUCAGUCAUUGAUCUGAGGAUUUUCUACCUUCUUGCCAGAACAACAAAGCCAGCAAUUUUUAAAAAAGACACUAGCGUUUGUAUUACUGAAAGUGCUCCAAGAGUAGGAAUGAAUAACGACAAUAUGACUUUUGUUGGUGGAGCAAAAAAACUGAUAGAAGUGCAGAACUAAUCUUAAAAAUGAAAUCAGAGGAAGAACAAGAGAGGCUUGAUGGAAGUGAAAACAACCAACCAACCACAGGUAUGUAAAAGUUUAAAUUUCUGGUAUAAUUUUCUUUUGUUGCUUUAAUAACUAGCAUAGACCAAAUGAAAUUAGAUUUGGACACAAUUGUAUAAAAUCUGUAGA